rnacentral:rRNA from 1 species
CCUACGGGUGGCAGCAGUGAGGAAUAUUGGUCAAUGGCCGCAGGGCUGAACCAGCCACGUCGCGUGAGGGAUGACGGUCCUAUGGAUUGUAAACCUCUUUUGUCAGGGAGCAAAGGGCGCCACGUGUGGCGUUUUGCGAGUACCUGAAGAAAUAGCAUCGUCUAACUCCGUGCCAGCAGCCGCGGUACUAGGGGGGAUGCGAGCUUUAUCCUGUUUUAGUGGGUUUAAGGGGUGCGGAGGCGGAAUGUCAAGUUAGCGGUAAAAUUUCGGGGCUCAACCCCGUCGUGCCGUUGAAACUGGUGUUCUUGAGUGAGCGAGAAGUAUGCGGAAUGCGAGGUGUAGCGGUGAAAUGCAUAGAUAUCACGCAGAACUCCGGUGGCGAAGGCAGCAUACCGGCGCGCAACUGACGCUCAUGCACGAAAGCGUGGGUAUCGAACAGGAUUAGAUACCCUGGUAGUC